rnacentral:rRNA from 1 species
UACAGAGGUCUCAAGCGUUGUUCGGAUUCAUUGGGCGUAAAGGGUGCGUAGGCGGCGCGGUAAGUCGGAUGUGAAAUCUCGGAGCUUAACUCCGAAACUGCAUUCGAUACUGCCGUGCUUGAGGACUGGAGAGGAGACUGGAAUUUACGGUGUAGCGGUGAAGUGCGUAGAUAUCGUAAGGAAGACCAGUGGCGAAGGCGGGUCUCUGGACAGUUCCUGACGCUGAGGCACGAAGGCCAGGGGAGCAAACGGG